GGGGGCUGUGGCUCAGUGGUAGAGCAUCUGCUUGACAUGCUUAAGGACCCAGGUUCUAUCCACAGCAUCUUCA
rnacentral:tRNA from 1 species